rnacentral:pre_miRNA from 1 species
AUAAUACUCCCUACGUCUGAAAAUACUUGUCAUCAAAAUGAAUAAAAGAUGAUGUAUCUAGAUGUAUUCUAGUUUUAGAUACAUCCAUUUUUAUCUAUUGUGAUGACAAGUAUUUUCGGACGGAGGGAGUACAUU